rnacentral:tRNA from 1 species
GCUGCACGUGUCGCAGCCGGCGGUGAGCCGGGUGCUGGCGCUGACCGAAGACCGGUUGGGCUACCGCCUGUUCGAGCGCGUGCGCAGCC